AGAGUUUGAUCCUGGCUCAGGACGAACGCUGGCGGCGUGCUUAACACAUGCAAGUCGAACGGAAAGGCCCCUUUGGGGGUACUCGAGUGGCGAACGGGUGAGUAACACGUGAGUAACCUGCCCUUGACUUCGGGAUAACUUCAGGAAACUGGGGCUAAUACCGGAUAGGAAUCCUUGCUGCAUGGUGGGGGUUGGAAAGCUUCGGCGGUUUUGGAUGGACUCGCGGCUUAUCAGCUUGUUGGUGGGGUAGUGGCUUACCAAGGCUUUGACGGGUAGCCGGCCUGAGAGGGCGACCGGCCACAUUGGGACUGAGAUACGGCCCAGACUCCUACGGGAGGCAGCAGUGGGGAAUAUUGCACAAUGGGCGGAAGCCUGAUGCAGCAACGCCGCGUGCGGGAUGACGGCCUUCGGGUUGUAAACCGCUUUCAGCAGGGGCGAAGCUUUUGUGACGGUACCUGCAGAAGAAGCACCGGCUAACUACGUGCCAGCAGCCGCGGUGAUACGUAGGGUGCGAGCGUUGUCCGGAUUUAUUGGGCGUAAAGAGCUCGUAGGUGGUUGAUUGCGUCGGAAGUGAAAACUUGGGGCUUAACCCUGAGCGUGCUUUCGAUACGGGUUGACUUGAGGAAGGUAGGGGAGAAUGGAAUUCCUGGUGGAGCGGUGGAAUGCGCAGAUAUCAGGAGGAACACCAGUGGCGAAGGCGGUUCUCUGGACCUUUCCUGACGCUGAGGAGCGAAAGCGUGGGGAGCGAACAGGCUUAGAUACCCUGGUAGUCCACGCUGUAAACGGUGGGUACUAGUGUGGGGGUCCAUUCCACGGAUUCCGUGCCGUAGCUAACGCAUUAAGUACCCCGCCUGGGGGAGUACGGCCGCAAGGCUAAACUC
rnacentral:rRNA from 1 species